UUAUAAAUACAAUAAAUAAACUCUAUUAUAUAAUAAUAGAUAGUAAAAACACCUAAAAACCAUUGAUAAAAAUGGGUCAAAUCCAUGGUCUAUCAGAUAUUUUCUCCGGUUGGGAAGCAUCUUUCAAUUCGUAUUAUGCUCUCCCUAGCUAGUGGUGAAUCUUGACUGAGAUAACAAAUGUAUGUCAAGACAACAUUUCUUCGUGGAGAAUUAGAAGAGCGGACCUUAAUGGAAUAGCCAGAAGGUAUUAUAAGGAAAGGAAAUGAGAAUAAAGUUUUCCUGUUGGAGAAGUCGUUGUACGGGUGGAAGCAAUCUCAUAGGCAGUGGAAUUUAAAGUUCGAUGGUUUUAAGCAGAAACAUGAAUUUCAAGGAAGUAAGUUUGAUUCAUGUAUCUAUAUGAAGGAUGUAAACACAGAGAAUGUGAUGUAUUUGUUGUUUUAGGUGGACAACAUGAUCAUAGAUUCUGAAAACAAGCGAGUGAUUAAGGCGCUAAAGGACAGUCUCAGUGGUGAGUUCGAGAUGAAAGAUCUGGGAAAGGAUUCUAUGAUAUUGGGAAUGGAUAUUAUCCCUGGCAGAGAGAAAUGAACAUUGAUACUCUCGCAGCAGAAGAAUUUGGAAAGAUUUUACGACAUUUUGGAAUGUUUGAGGCAAUGUCCGUAAUCACUCCUACGGCUUCACACUUCAAACUAAAGAGUCUACAUCCUAAGGAAAGAGCAGAAGAGUUUGAGCAUAUGACGAAUGUUUCCUACGCUAGUGUGGUUGGCAGCUUGAUGUAUGAUAUGGUUGGGUCACAAUCAGACUUGGGAUUCACAGUUGGAUUGAUCAGCGGGUUCAUGUCACAUCCGAGAAGAGAACAUUGGGAAGCAGCAAAAGUGGGCUCUGAGUUAUGUCAAAGGAGAUUAUGAUCAAUGUUUGACAUUCAGAAAAUGUUCAGAGUUAAGGAUUGAAGGGUUUUAAAACUCAGACAAUGCUACAGAUCUAGAUAAGAGAAGAUCAGUUUUAUGAAUUGUUUUCAAGGUUGGAGGAAACAACGUGUUUUUGAAGUCGGGUUUGAAAUCGGUUGUAGCUCUUUCCACAACAGAGGCAAAGUACAUGGCCCUGACUCUGGCUGUGAAAGAAGCUAUUUGGCUAAAGAGUCUGAACAUAAAUACGAUUUGAGAAACACAUCGUAAGGAUCACUACAAUUUUCAAAUCGCAAUCACAUUAUCCAAAAACACAGUUCAUCAUGAAAGAGCUAAACAUAUGGACACAUGGUUUCAUUUCAUCAGAGACAUCAUAGCUAAAGGCAGGGUUACUCUAUUUAAGAUCCACACAUCUAAAAAUCAUGUAGAUUUCUUAACUAAACAGUAUAUGGUUCUAAGUUCUUGUUGUGCUAUGAUAGUCUCUACAUCGCAUGAAAAAGGAUCGACUCCAGGUAACUUUGCGUAUGUACCUCACAAAACCGAAGUGCAAGAGAUGGAGUUAGUAUUCAAGUCAGAGUCUACUAAUUGAUCGGAGGUACAUAUAUCAAUGCAUGCGAAAUAAAAAGGGAGGUGGAGUUAGCUGAGAGAAUCAAAUUGAGUUUAAGUUGAAAAGGGCAGGUCAAACGAUCAAGGGUGAGAUCGGCUUUCAAUUCUACAAACUCAGGAACAUGAAAGGAGAAAUAUGGGUUAAUAGUCAAGAUCAAAAAGUCAAAAAGAGGAAAGGAAGACAUACAUGCAGCAUAAAUGGUCAGAUCUGAGAAGGCGGUUACUUGAAAGUCAUAUACAGAGUUGUCUUGAACAAGCGGAACUUGCAUCGAGUAGUUCCGAGAAAGUAAACAUGCAAAUCAAAACAGAAGAAGUAAGUUUCGUUCUCGUAUAAAAGAACUUAGAAUCGAUUUAAAACUCAUGAGAUAAAUAAGAAGAAAGGAUUUCUACGUGAGGGAAAGACGCAGUCGCUUUAAAUUGGAGGAGAUGGAUCAAGUUUUCUGUUUGACAGUGAUUUUAGUUGGACAUUUAUAGAGAGAAGGGAGAACGAAGAGGUAGUAGAGAGAAAAACGACCAAAGUGUUUUGAGGGCUGGACUUUACUUUAGUCUACUCCAACUGACUUUGGUACUGGGCUAAGCUGAUAUAAACAGGAGAAGAAGGAAAUCGGACUUCGUCUUGUUUAAGGCCAAUCCAGCUCAACCUGAGCUAUAAAAUCAGCACAAGUGUCUUCGUCAACAAAAAAACGGUCACCUGUAACAGAAGGUGGUUAGUAACAGAACAGAGAGAAAAAGUAGAGGGAGAGUUCUACCUCGGAGAAGAGAUUGACGGAGACAUUGGCGAAGGUUCUCCUACGUCUUCUCCACAGAGGAUACAUUUUCCGGUGAUGCAUUUUCGAAUGUAACAUCAACACUUCAACUCCAGUGUGCUUGUGACGGUGUUUAUAGAAAGUUACUGAAACUCUUUAUUUAUUCUAGUUCAUUGUUUGAGAGUUUUGAUAUCUCCCCGGACAGCAGGAAACAAAAUCCGGAUUACUAAUCUCAGUGUUCUUUCUUUUCUGUUCGUCAUCCAGAUUAAAUAAAAAAACAAAUCGAUAUUAGUAUCAACAAGAAUGUAAACUUAACCUAAGAUCAAGGACAAACAAUCAACAGUCUCACUUAUUUUCUUCUUCUAAUUGUGAAUGAGAAGAUAUAGUAUCUCACUCCUAACCUAAUAUUAAUAUCAUUGGUAACUGAUCCGAACCCAAACUUCUAUUUGUGUUCUCUACAACACCAAACUCACUAAUACAAAUGCAAACUUCUGAAUUCAACACACCAUUGAUUUUGCCACUAGGAAGAAUACCAACAUCAUUCAAACCUUUAAAAUUGUAUGGUCCGUUAUCUAAACCAUGAGAAGGUAGUACUCUGUAUUUUCUCUGUGUGGACGGUGGUACUCUGUAUUGAGGUAAAUAACAAACCCUAAAAACAAUGAAUUUUUUUAAGAGAAAUUACCUAUAAUAACACACAUUUUUUGAAAAAAAUGACUAGACUAACACACAAAAAAAAGAAAAAAAUGAUACUAAAGGUCAGAAAUACCAAAUACACGUGUCUUAAAAGAAUAGUAAAUAAAACCUUUAAACAAAACAUCAGUCCACAGAAAAAAAUCAGACCACGAUUUUCCCCCUUUCUCUCAAUACAUGAACCCUAAAUUCCAAACUGGGGAUUCUUCACCUCUCGAUGCUCAUUUGUUUUUCAUAUGAUUUCUAUUUCUGUCUGACUCUUUCGUGCCGUUCUCUAUCACUAAAACCUUCGGAAUCACAAAGGGAAAGUGAAAUCGAGGUCAAAUCCGACGAACCCUAAAUCACGUUUCCAGAGUCGCGAGUUCCGUCGAAUGACGGGGAACUUAAGGGCGGAAAACUUUUGGCCGAGAACUGGUCGGAAAUAUUUUCAGCUGCUUGCGAGUCACAUGUGUAUGUUUUGCGCCGCCUGCCUGCUUGCUUCAUUUAAAUUGUCAUGUGACUGUCACAAGCUACCUGCCUCCUUGUUCAUUAAAUAAGUCACAUGCUGGUCACAAGCUACUUGCUUCAGCUGCUUGCAGCUUCCUUCAUGGGAAGGAAAAGUUCAGCUGCUUAUGCUGCUUGGUGUGCUGAAGCAUGUCUCCAGAUGUCUAGCCUCAGAUUUGCCUUAUGUCUCCAGCUGUCUAGCCUCAUCUGAAAUAACUCCUUAUGCUUUAAAAUACCUUUUUCUCUCCUCUGGACGUUCAUAACCUGCAGCAUAACAAGAGAAAUUUCAGAGAGAAAGAAAGAAAGAAGAGAGAAAAUUAUGUGAGAAAGAAUUCUUGAAAAAAUUCAGAGAAAAUCAGAGGCGUGAAGUGAGCAUGGAUGACCCUUUCUAACCCUCUUGUACCUUGAAUAAUUGGAUGAAGUGUGUGGUUGAUUUUUAGUUUGUCCAGGAGAUUCAUGAGAUCAAUCCACAACUUAUGAGUCUUGAGUUUGAACCUGUAAAACUACAAUUAGUUUGUUUGGAUAAGUUUGAUCAGAUCAGUUUCAAGGAAGCUUCAUGUCUGAUUAAAACCUAAGCCAUGUUCUGUUUCUGAUCUUAAACCUACCAUUGAACCUUUAUUCUGAUCAGGUCAGCGUGAGUAAAUAUUGAAGGAGAGGAUCAGCUGUGUUCACCAAUCAGUUUAGUAUAGCCGAUGGUCAAGGAGAGUGGUUGGAUCAGCUGGACAUGUCCUUGUGAUCGUUUCAAAUCUGAAGUGUACCGGAAGUGGAAUGUGAUUAGCUUGAGCUCGUGUCUAGUCUUCUUUCGCCAAUUUCAUGGAUUCAAAGGUAAACAAUAGGAGGGAGACUUUACAAUAGGACGGGAAGGAACAUCAUUAGCCAGCGGUAGUUUUAUUAUCCUUGCAAAGACGUUUUGAUAUUUCUUAUGUAUAAGAUUUAUUGACCAAAAACCUCGAGGUUAAUUUAUAACAAAUUUUAUAAGAUGCAUUUGAAUGAUAUAUAAAGAAUGUUUUUUUAAAAGUACGGGUUCCAUAUGAUAUUAGUCCUUGUCCGGAUGAACUAACUAUCAGGUAUUGCUUUGUCGGGUUGAAAAGCCGAGUGAUAUCCGAUAGGAGGGUUGGUGUUCUUUGGUUGUUGGUCUAAGGUGAUUGGAAGUAUUCUAAGAACCUCGGAUCGACCAUCGAGGAACAUCGACCGUGUCAUUACUGGUCAUCUACAAUCAGGGGUGUCACAAAUAUUGUAUCAGAGCAUGGUUAUACGAUGCUAGAGUGGGACUUGUUUCCAAUGUUUUUCGAGUCAAUAUGAGUCGUAAGGAUAACUAGGAUAUGCUGGCUGGUUCCUUCAUUUUAGGAUAGACAGUCAUGGGUAGUUACCUAACUGUGAUCUUUAAUAGCAGAGCCACCGAGACAAGCUUAACAAGGUGGACCGUACUUUCCGAUUUUGAUCCCAUCAUGUUUGAGUUUGCUACCGUCAAGCUCUGAUCUGUUAUCUUUAUGCUCCGACUCGUUACUAUCAUGCUAGGAAUCGGUAACGUCAUGAUUUUCUGCCGCGCUUUUGAGUUCUAGUGGGGGAUACCAAUUCUUUAGAGAUAAAUAUGGGAUAUUUUUGAUACAUCGAAUACAUCUCCGGACUCGUGUGUUAUCAAUGUUAAAGUGGGCGUUGUUUGAGUUCUGAUUUAGAGCGAUUCGACUGCACAUGAUCACUUAGAUGCACUUAUUCUUCCGGCUUCUCAUAUCUGUCCAGCUUAUGUUGAAACGUACAAGCACCAGAGCCGUACAAGCCUGAAUUGUUUUGCACUUAUUUCAAGCUUAGCAUUGGAGGAAGAGAUGGUUUGACUGUAUUAAAAGAUGAUAGAACCACCAGAAGCAUUCUGUUUACAACGAGAUAUCAUGAAGCUUAUGAUGCAACGAAGACGAAUUUGGUACCAGAAGAUACUGAAGAAAGACUAAACCAUUCGAGGUAUACUUUGGCUUAAGGAAGAUUUGGGAUGCAACACUCAGAAAAGAAUAUUGACGUGGCCGUUGUUCAGAGAACUACAAGAAGGAUUUGGCAGCAAGCUAUUUGGAGAUGAAUGCGAUGAGUUGUUGGUCGAGAGUCAAGCAUUACUUCAGAGAGGUGAAAUCUAGUUGGACAGAUUUCGAGAGUUCAAGAAGUAGUAUUGUCUACACAAGUUAUGGGACCGAUUGAAGAUUCAGUUUAUGAAGUUGGUACAGUGAGAUAUUUCUGCCAGGAGGUUCACGUCGAAUUAAUCAUAUACAAAAAUUUCAGAAGUGAGAUAUGUGGUCGAGUGAAUUUGCUUCAUCGAUUAUGGUUAGAGAAUGAGCCAAAGAUCUUACAGAAAAUCUUUGGGAACUUAGCCAAUUAAUUUAGAGUAGAUAAAAUACAAUGGAGCUUCCAAGCUUCGAGGAGAUGUUAGAGUAUGACAUGAAUAUUAAAGAAGUUAUUGCUGAAGAAGUUUAUCAAAUCCUACAGACCGUUUAAUUUUCAACCAGUGAAGAUCGAAGGUCAGUUCAAGCAGUGGAUUAAGUCGCUGGGAUGAUUUUGGGUGUACGUUUCAUCAGAUCAAGAUCGAGGAGCCUGAGUUGUUAUGGUUGUGACUUGCCAGGACAGAAUAGUCGGUAUCGUCCAAGUGCGAGAAAUUCUUGAUUGUUUUCAUCAUUGCGCUUUGGUGAUUCUCUUGUGAAGAGUAAGGAUGAUUAUUUUACCCUUGCCCAUGAAGUUACUUGAUUCUUUUACCUAUACCUAGGGUACUAGUUGAUGGGCUUAUUCGUGUCGCCUUACCAUUAGUCAUGAUCCAAGUGUUAGGCUAUUUGGAUAGAACAUACACUUUAUAGUUGCAUGGACCGUCAAAACCUCUAAUUGGUCCAAUCACAUGUUUGCUUCUUAUCCCGUUGUGUGUUGUAUGCAUUUAAUAAAAAAAUAUUAUGAAUGAUUGAAUAAAUAAGUAAAUAUGUGAUCAAGGUAUCGUAAGAGACCUUGUCAAUGGACGAAAUUUUUCCACCCAUAUUGUGGUUGAUUCAGGAACAACACAUAGAUGUAGUUCCCGAGCAGUGUCAUAGUUUUAAGGAGGAUUCACUUUGGUGAAUUCAAGUAUCCAUUUUUAUUUUUGGAAGUACUGGCUGCCAUUGAAAGUUAUGCUAUGCCUUCCACAUUCCAAAGUACUUCUGUUAGAGCGGUAUGUUUCUAGAAUGAGAUUGGCUACCUAGUUACCGAGCUCAAUUAGGAUGUUGAGGAAAGAAGUCUUUUGAACAAGACCAGUUAUCGUUGGCCUACAAUGGUAUUCUACCAAGUGUUUGAGCCUCGCUCAUAUCAGUCUGAGUGUUUGACAACCUUUUAGAAAAAGGUAAAGUGGUGUAUUCUACUAUUCUGAUCAUUGGGAGAGUAGAAGAUUAAAAGGAGCAUAGUAUAGAGGACAGUUUGAUAAUCAGAGAUUCGAAGAUAUGUUAAGGCGCUGGAAUGGUUGUUUCCAUCUAGAAAUUACCCGUUCAAUAUUCUUGUUGAACAUGGAUUUAUUGUAAUAGCCUAGGCAUCUCACCAAAUGGUUCGAGCCGAGUUCUAGUAGGACUUAGAAGAUUUGUUUGAAGAAAGGUUUCGUUCGACCUAGAUCCUUUAUGUGGGGAGUUCCCAUUUCAGAGCUAAAGAAGAAGAACAAGGGUUUGUGGAUAUGUUCGACUAUCGGUAAAUCAAUGACGUGAGCAUCAGGGUCAAGUAUCGAUUUUCUAGAAUUGAUGAGUGGUUAAGACCGCUUGCAGGGUGAAAUUUUUUUUCAAGGACGUUGUGGGAACCAAAUUUUGCACCGUCAAUUUCAGUUAAAUUAGGAAAGUUAGGAAACCCUUAAUUUUCCAGAGGUCCUGGAUUUCUGCUAAGCCAAACGUCAACAAAUCAGAUAACGUAAACAAGCGUAAAUUAUAACUUGAAUCAAGUGAAAAGAGAGCAAAUAAGAUCUUAUUACGAAUUUACGUAUAAGCGUUUACAACAGGUAAAGCCUUGGCCGCAAGAGCUAUUGGCGAGUUCCUAGUUCUAACCACCUAAGACUUGAAAACCUAGUUGAUUCGCAGCUCGAAAACAAAAAUUGAAAAUUGCCUAAUAUUGAUCUAAGUGCUAAGUUUGCUAUGUGUGUGUGUAAAAGUUCUAUCUUGCGACUCUCGCCUUCGCGUCCCUUAUAUACUUUUUCUAGGUCGGUUUGGGCUUUCCUUUUCAGCCCUUGGGUCGAGUUUAUAUUCUCGCAGAAAUAUUCCAUUUUCCCAAUCUUCAUGAUUAUCCCUUGAAACUUGAAUUUUAUCUCUGAACUUGACAUUUUUCUUCCAACUUGAUAGAUAUCUUUUCUCGCGAAUAUUCGAUAAACUGUCAUAGUGACGUUGGGCUGAUUCUCGUAAAGAAUCGUAAGUGGGCCUUUGCCACGUUUUAGACCCCUUGGGUCGUUUUUCGGCUAAAAUGUUUUUACGAUUUCUUUUGGGGGAUUUGCUGUUAGUACGACGUCGGUUUUACAAAAUAGCUGAAAUAAAUCGUAUAGCGGAGAUAACCAUGGUGUUAAGUUAACUGUUAUCGUUUAAUACGACCGAUCCAAACUCAUUCGAGAAAAUAAGUCUUCAUCGUUUUUAUCGUAAAGUUUCAACGGUAACUCCGAUCGAGACGAAACAAGAAACAGUUUGACCGAGACCCGAAAGAGGGAUUUCCGGAGAAGAGAAUGCAUGGUGUGGGACUGAUCCAACUCACCUAAUGGUGAAUCGGACAAGGCUGAUCCAACUCUCCAUUGGGUGAGUUGGACUUGGUUCAUCCAACUCGCCAUUGGGCGAGUUUGACUUGGCUUAUCCAACUUGCCCGAUGGCGGGUCGGACGAUGUUGGUUUGAUUGUUCCGAUGCUUUGGAAUCGUCUGUUCGAGAGAUUGAAUGAUCCCUUCCGAGGACCUUGUCGCACAAUACUCUUAAAAAUACGAAGUUUUAGUUUUCCUUAUUUUUAUUUUCUUUACAUAAAGGUUUCUCGAGAACUUUCCGACAUUGAUUUCGUCGUUACCGAUUUUGACCCCAAUAGUGUAGCCCCCAGCUCGGGAUCAAUGGAAGAAAGUCAGAGGGCAAAUAGUAUUUUUUUCUUUUCAAUAAGUAUGUGGAGUAAGUUUUAAAAUCUUUACUUGCUCACUUCCACAAGAAUUUCUUAAGGUAGAAAAAUCGUUCUCUCCCUUUGUCUGCUUUAUUGUUCUUGAUAAUGUCUUCAUACCAGAGAGCUUCAGACAAUGUUUUUCCUUCUCGCUUUGAUCCUGAGAGCCUUUGUUCCCAAGAUGGCCAAACUGUCGUAAAGGCUGAAUUCAUGGCACAUCCCGUCAAUCCUAAGGAAGCCGAUGCAUAUUGGCUGGCUACGUGCGACCUAAAGGCUCCUCCGCAUGAGUCGGGGUUCCUCCUAAGUCUAGUAACCAAAGAAUUGCUGGCUGUCCGAACCACAAUUUUUCUUCGUACCUCGAUGUCAUCAGACGUUUCUGCCGCGUUCCGGACUCGAUGGAGUUUCGACUUCCACAGGCCGGGGAACGUUCUGAUGCUCCUCUGGAUGGCUACUUCACAUUCUACGACGCUUAUCUGUUGCGUUGUCAUUUGUAGUUCCCCAUCCCUAAGAUAAUUUUUCAAAUCUUGGAUCGGUUUGGAUUGUCGAUAAGUUAGAUUUCUCUUACUGGCUUGCAACAUCCAUGACUCUAGACGCCGAUUAUCUUGAGACUUUGUUGAUGCCAGUGGCAGUUUAAGGGUCGCGAAUGUGUCGUUUGAACCCGAGGCCGAAUAUAGCGAUAAUCAAGGAAUUCUCUUCGAAUUCCACGGGUUUCGGAAAAUCUAUUUUUCGUACGCAUAGACAGUGCAUUCGUCGAGGAGGGCUGCAUCCCCAUUUUUAGGAGUCAAUGGGGUCAAAAGGGUAUCUUGAUCGGAUAUCCGUUAGUUUUUUUUCGAGGAUAUCUAACCUUGUCCCCAUUCUCUUUGUUUUGCAUUGACUAAUUCUCUUCCUUCGUGUCCCGAGGAUAUACGCAUCGUUAGUAAUCUUAUCCGGGACGGACCUUACUUUUGGGGCCACUAUUCCCUGAGACGAGUUCUUCUUGCAAUGGCUUACCAUUGUUCUCGACUUCAGCCCGAUUUGCCAGUUGAAGAAGAAUCGGAACCGAGUAUGGAGGAGUUUGUUCCUUAAGAAAUUCGGGGUGAAAGGGAGAGGUCAAGGUCUCCCAAGAUUAAGCAGAUCGCCGUUGAUGGUGACGAUGAUGCAAUUUACGGGUUGGAGUGUCCAACGGACGAAUCAUUCCGCAACUUCCUUAAUAGCCAGGCUAGUGGAAGCGGCACUGAUCAGGCUGACCCUCCAGGAUUCGACACCUUUGAAAACUUUUUUGACUUCGGGAGGCCCUCGAUUGUAAGGGAGCAUGUCGAGUUGAAGGCGUCAAGGAUGUGCAACAAAAAUUUUCGUAGGGUCUUCACCUCAUGACCGAGGCUCUUAAGGCGAGUCACACGGAAGCGCGCACAACCGUAUUUAAGGCCGAGGUGGUAGAGAAGGAGAUCGUCCAUUUGAAAGAUGAGGUCGAAGCGAACUCUCUUUGUGAGAAGGAGUUGGCUGUGAGGGAAACUCGUCGAGCGUACAUGAAGGGGAAAAAAGAUGUCGCUGAUAUCGUGAAGAAGCGCUUCACAUGAGUUUACGAACGAGUUCGGGUAGUUGAAAAAGACGUACAACUCUAUUGGUGAUUACCGCGAGUGUCGUGGUGCCGUUGGCGGGUUGUACCUUCCACGAGCUCCUGAAUAUUCUUACGAAAAAGAGUUGGCUAAGCAGACCAGUCGUAUGCAUAACAAUGCGGACAUGGCUUCUGUGUCCCUCAGAUGGAAGAGAGGAGUUGGGAUCAGUGGGCUCCGAUCUGAUACGCCCAAAUUAGGGAAGUAUCACUCAGCCAGACUUGGAUAUGAACUCAGACGGUUUGAAUGAGAACUGAUGGAUUGAAUGGUGACACAAUAGGGGAGGAAAGUCUCUUGAUACUACCAGACUUCAGUUGUUGCUUGAUAUGACGCACAAGUCCAACAAAAGAAGGGUUCCUACAUAUUUAUACUAGUGUGUAGUCAAAGAGAAAUAAAGAAACACACGGAAAA